UGUACAUUUCAGACAUAACUAUGGUCCCUA
rnacentral:piRNA from 1 species